UACGUAGGGUCCAAGCGUUAUCCGGAAUUACUGGGCGUAAAGCGCACGUAGGCGGCUUUUUAAGUCGGAGGUGAAAUCCUGGAGCUCAACUCCAGAACUGCCUUCGAUACUGAAGAGCUCGAGUCCGGGAGAGGUGAGUGGAACUGCGAGUGUAGAGGUGAAAUUCGUAGAUAUUCGCAAGAACACCAGUGGCGAAGGCGGCUCACUGGCCCGGUACUGACGCUGAGGCACGAAAAGCGUGGGGGAGCAAACAGGG
rnacentral:rRNA from 1 species